rnacentral:misc_RNA from 1 species
GUGUCAACGUCAUCCUUUUUCCAGGUUUCGUGCUAGCCUACCGCGCCUUCCGAUGGUGCUUCACAUCUACCACGCCGCCGUGGGGGAGAAGGAGUUUCAGUUUUCCACCAACAUCAACAAGCUCACGCAGGAGACGUACGAGCUUGACGUUAACGAAGCCAUCGAGGAGGUCAGCUCCACCAUUCUCGAGCAGCUGACGGACGAGGAUGCGCUCUGCUGCGUGUGCAAGGCAGCACCUGCGACACGACUGAUUCACCACACGAUGCUCUUUGCCGAGACCUUUCCUCCACGCGUGGAGGACCUGCCGCAGCCCGUGUGCAACUCCGCCAACUGCGAGGUAGUAGCCAAGUCGCGGUACUUGAUGGACAUGGAGGAUGCCACCACAGCACAGGGGAUGCCGAGCCCCAACGGCUGCUUUCAUUGUCACAAGGGGGCGCGGGGCGCAGCGACAACGUCAGUACCGCUUCAGCGCUGCAGUCGGUGCAAGGUGGCCAAGUAUUGCAGUGUCGAGUGCCAGAAGGCGGACUGGAAGGUGCACAAGCAGGUGUGUACCCCCGGGUAGGUGAAGAAUGACGCAGAGGAAGAAGGGAGGAUAGAAAAGGUAGACGCGGGCAGUGUCGACCGUCACGCGCGCGCGCCUCUCUCUGGUGGCCCCCUUCAGGUUCUUCUUGCCGCUUCUUGCUCUCGACGCCGCAGCGCUGCUGCUGCUGCUAACUGUUUCGACCCACUGCAUCCCCCCCGCUCACGCUCAUCGCACGGAGGGUCUGCUGUCUCCAUGUGUGCGCACGUGUGUGCCGCUUUCGCUUCUGCAGAGUGCGCGUCACACACGUACACCCAUGCCGUUUUCGCCCAGCCGCACAUGAGAAUACACGUGCAUAGCCUCGAAAAGGGCGGAUGGAGGGGGUUGAGCAGCGAUGACGGACGGACAUGGGGGAAGGGGGGAUAGGAGGAUAGGGAGAGGGAGGGACAAUCACAUGAAUCGCGUUCUGCUUCCUCCCCCUUCCCUCCCUCCCUCUCCUUCUCCAGCCCCUGUUCUUCAUCAUCACUCCACAGCUCAUCUAUCGCUGCCGUAUACAUCUUGCAUAUCGCGGCGUAAGCCGCCUAUGUGUGUGUGUGUGCUGCAUGCAGACAAGAAGACGGACUGGACAGUUGUUCAGCAUCGCGCACCGGAUCGCGUGCGGAUGCGCCGAAGCGAGAAAACAAGC